GGCCGGCUGGCCUAAUGGUUAAGGCGUCAGUUUCCGGAGCUGAAGAUUCGGGGUUCGAAUCCCCGGUUGGUCG
rnacentral:tRNA from 1 species